rnacentral:rRNA from 1 species
UACGUAGGGGGCAAGCGUUUGUCCGGAUUUAUUGGGCGUAAAGAGCGUGUAGGCGGUUCGGUAGGUCCGUUGUGAAAACUCGAGGCUCAACCUCGAGACGCCGAUGGAAACCAUCGAACUAGAGUCCGGAAGAGGAGAGUGGAAUUCCUGGUGUAGCGGUGAAAUGCGCAGAUAUCAGGAAGAACACCCGUGGCUAAGGCGGCUCUCUAGUACGGUACUGACGCUGAGACGCGAAAGCGUGGGGAGCGAACAGG